UCCUGGUGGGUCAAAAAGAGGCUGGCAAUAAGUUGAGGGACACACGCAUUGUUAACUAUGUUAGCACUAAGUAUAACUACUGUAUUAUUGCUAUGGUGUAUUAGUGUAGCUAUGUUUACCUAUGAUCAUGACUUCCGAUGUGCAACAUCAGAUCAAGUAAUCAUCAGUAAUCUGUCUGCAUGUCAAGAACGUGAUUGUUCACAAGGGAAACGUAACCCAUUGGAUUCCUACUUUGACUGCUCAAUAGGGAUGUUCCAAGAAUGGGAGGAGUUUAAGAAAAACAACCAUGUUUUUGAAAGUUACGAGCAGAGCAAUAGCCACAUGAAGGAUUUGAACUCGCCUUCCAUAAGUGCCGUCGGAUUUUACCUGAUAGCUGACAAAUACAAUGUCAAGAACAAUCCAAAUUUAAAUCUUACAUUUCGAUUACCAAGGAACAGUUCAUACGAUACGAAAGCACUACUGGUAAAGUUUGUGGGCUUGAACGACCCGAGGUACCCCGAACUCAUAGAUCCAUACUACAAGGACAAUCCACGAUACCGACUGUUCGACUUUCCAUUGUAUAAAACCCCAGAACAAGAUCAAAUGUAUCCGAGAGAGAUUGUGUACGGUUGUUUAAUGGGGCUGGACUGUCAGAGUGAAAAGCGGGCUUACAUAAUCACAUUAACGGCCUAUACGUUGAAUCGAAGCCACCCUGGAACAAGUAUUACCUACCAUUUUACCGUCUACACAACGAGAGAUUUUAGCAAUUCCGGUAAAGUGACGAUUGCUAUGGCUUAUAUAUACCAGUUGCGGACUAUGCAUGUCGUGUUCGAGCCAAUAUCAGCUGUUUAUGUGUCCCCUGGCACCUACUACUUUGUUAGGCUCAUGGAAAUAAACGCAGGCAAACUGCAAACCGUUAAGAUUGGACAUACGACGAGUAGGUACGAACAUGAGUUCCCCAACAUCACCAAAGGGAGUUAUAUUGUGGAGGUCAAUGUCCAAAACUGCCUCGGAAUAAACCCGUGUCCUGUAUCACAAUCAGGGAUUGUGGAAGUGGAAUAUCAAAUAAAGGCGGCCUUGCCAACGACAGAAACGUCGCAAAAAGCUGGGGUAUACAUAUACGCUAUAAUAGGUGUCGUCGGUGGAGUUGUGCUGCUUCUUGUCCUAUUGGCAUGCUUCAUUGGUUCUAUCGACCACAAGCCUAAGGUGUACAUUUUGAACUCGUGCGAAGAGAAGAUUCAUACAGAUGUAUCAUUGGCAUUGCAGCAGUGCAUACAUCCGUUUUUUGAUACUGCGGUCGUAUCUACUGUUAACCGCGACAGUGUAAAAGAUUUAUCCACCAAAGCUGGAUUCCAAAACCACGACAACGUCAUCAUUGCUAUCAAAUGUCAUCACGUUUCUUCUGCUUUCGUCAAUAAUUUGUGUUCAAAACGGACGCUUAAACGUUUCAAAAAUAUCACAUUUAUUUGGUUCUCGCAAACAGACUUGUCCACGGUACCUGAUAUAUACAAAGUGUUUAUGUGGAACCAGAACAAUGGAUGUACAGAUAUGUUAAAAUACAUCCAUGACAAACAAAAAAGGCAUUGCCUGAACAUUCUAAAACAGUUCCGGCCUCAGCUCAAAAACGUUAACGGAAAUUCUGCAGAGAUUCAACAUCUUCGACGUACCAUGGCUAUAGCUUUAACACUACCUGUCCCAACGCCUGCAAACGACCCGUGGGCUAUGCGUCCAUACAGUCAGGACGACCUUCGACGACCUCUGAUACAAAAUAACUGUUGCCCUGUCCAUCAUGAAAUGUGCUAUGAAAUGGACAAUCACACGCAGUCCUUUAAUGUACCGUCAUCACCUGGCUACAAUGACAAUCAAACAUCUGACGAAUGGCACUUUAGCAGUUUGCCAAUAAGAGAUGACCUGGUCGAAGGUCAUCAUUUUGGGCGGAGACUCGAUCACGGUCACCCAGAGAUAACCAGUUCAGACAUUGAUAUAUUAAGCCAGGAAAUGCUGAGAAUAAACGGAGCCAUACGGAUAACAUGAAUAAGUCGAGGAUCCCUGUACCACUGCGCUGUGGUGUUUCGUAUAUACAGUAAUCUCCCUUUAACUUCCGGUUGGAUAGAGCUGUAGCCGAUUUGGAUCAUGGCACUUCUGUUAACUAGGGAGCUCGGUCAGUUAGAGUACAGUAAAACUAUUUGAAAUACAAGGUUCGAAUCUCGGUCAAGCCCCGCUGAUGUUUUACACUCAGAAUACUUGAUUGUAUUUUAUUAAUUUUAUCAUUAUUAUUUCUUAUAAAAACCGUAGGGAUUUCAGAAAUAAAUUAACACAGCUAUAGCCAUGUCUGACCAAGCAGGUACCAAUGCGUCCAAAUGAAGUUACAGUGUUUGACAGUUCAUCAAAAAGAGGGAGGAGGUGGAGGAUAAAAACAAAAUAUUAUUGUGUUUUUUUCUUUGGCUAGGACAGGAUCAAUGUUUCAUCUAGGUUGAUCUGCCAACAUAUUAACACGUUAAGCCAUGGAAUGGCAUAUUUAAAUAUUGAACUGCUUUAUUUUGUUUUGCAUUAUGUUAAGCAAAACAAUUUUAACUAAAAUAUUGUAUAGUUGUUGAUUUUAACGAUUUCCCGUCUGCGAGGAUUAAUUAUUAUGCAACAUGGCCACGUAGAAUUAUCCAGCUCACGAAAGUACUUUCGUGUGAUUUAUUUCACAAUUUUUUUUUUAUGAAAAUGAGUAAAAUACUGUACUUCUUGUGUCUGAAUAUUGAAAAUACAUAUGUUCACAUGAAAGUAUGAUUCAUAGUAUUAAUAUUCGCUGGAUAUUCUUUUUCGCUAACUUUUGCGACCGCGAUAAAAGCGAAACUAAACCCCCCGCGAAUACAUAUUAUGUAAUACCAACCAUGCAGUGUUGCACGACAUGUACAUUUGUAUUAUAUGUGAUUGUAGUGGUAAUGUUACUUAUAUGGACGGACGAGCAGUUGAACAUCUUUAAUACCUACGGGGUCGCCAGCGCUAUCUAUUUUAAUCUCGUUAAGCACAGUCCAACGUCUUCACCAAACUAAGCUAUAACAAACAUGUAUAUAUUUUUUUGACUUUUUUGUUAACCAUGGUCUAAGACUUGUGUAUUAUUCCAUCGUGAAUUGGUAGGAAAUCAAGAUAAUAUAUUAUGCAAUGCAAGAAAGCACUCCUACCUUGUAGAGCAUACUCGGAUACUUAUAUUUGUCCUGAUGUUCAAGAGCUAGCGUACUUAGGGCCCGUAUUGUUUAAACCGUCCAAGUAUGGAUUCUGUGCUCUAACCAACUUUUUUUUGUUACUCGUUUAAAUGAUAAGACACAUUCAAAAAGGCAUGUGUUAUCUUUGAAAAUGGUUUUUGGCUUUAAGUAUUUCCAAAAAUAUCCUUCCAUUUCAUAAAUAAAGUUAUUUGUUAUUUGAUUUACACCGGAACAAGAAAUUUGGCUUGAGCACAGAAUUGGAGUCUAUGUUUAUGUAAUAUUGAAAGGCAUCAGACAUGGGCAAUAUAUUAUCGUUGGACGUAUCAAACUGCACGAGUGAAGUGUACACAUAGAUAGAUUUGCGAGAGUUUCCGCCCAGUUUCCGCCCAGGCCGGGUCAUCCUAUGUCCUUAAAAAUGAUAGUUGUUAUUUCCUGCUAAACAUUCAUCAUAUAAGGUAAUUACAACAUCUGGUUGUCGAGUUAUCACAUUGACCGGAGGGAAUACUGUGUUGGGUGCUUUUGGCAUUGGAUUUCAGUGAGGUAGCACUCUAAAGUCGGCAUCAGCUCUGCGCUAUCGCAAGGAGGCAAAUACACCAACAUACCCUGCUUCCAGCACAAAUACACACAUGGACACACACAUUACACAUAUGGAGACACGUAUUUGAAUAAACUUACCUGUUGAUAGCAUGUUAAACAAAAUCAAACGAACAGAGUGAACUGUAUCAAUUAUCACAAUAAAUUAUAUUUGUUGGAAAAUACUUCUCAUCAUAACUCCGUUUUAAUCUAAACUUUUCUUUUCGAAAACAUGGACCUAACAACAAUUAAUGGCGGACAAAACGUCGUUAAUGACCUGAAAACAUGGUCUGGUAUUGUUUGGCCUGAAAACUGGCUGUAUCAAUAUAGUAAUAUUUCCUAUAUAGGUUACAAUAUCAUUAACGUCUACAUCAUGUUCAGCGUCCAAAUACAUGAACAUAAUCUAUUACUUCAAGGGACUUCCAGGACAUGUCCACCGACUCUUCGAUCUAUAUAUGACAUCUGUAGACGGACAAAACGCGGACACGUACACUAUUUCUAUCAUAUGUGGUAAAGGUUACAGGUCAUAACCAUUUAAAUGCAGUGACUGUUCUGAAAAAUAACAGAAAGUCAGAAAAUAAAAUUGAAUUGAAAUAUAGACACGACAAAAACUAAACCGAAAAAUACAACAGUACGCGUAAUGUGAAGGUCGGUGACUGUUUUUGAGCCCCACUUAAAUGUAAGUUGAUUGGUUGAAACUCGGUCAAACGGUUAUCAUUUAUCAUCCUCUUUACAUUGUCAUUAUACUACGCUGAGUUCCAGUCAGAAGUUUCGUUUAUACCCUGUAUACAUUGUCCAUAGACUCAGUAAUGUUCUAUUCAACACUGAAGAUCUAGAUUAUAUAGCCUGUCAUGUAUCGAGUGUCAUUACAUGUUAUGAACUGCUGACGAAAUUGUUAGUUAACUAACACCUCAAUCUGAGAUUAUUACACAAUACUGACACUACAGACAGAACUGAGUGUUGUUUACGGUAUGUUUACGUGUAUCUACUAGAGCAGCCUGAUGACCCGUAAGGUAUGUCAGAGCUAUCAGCGUACAGUGAGGGAUAACAUUUCCACGUGCAUUGGAGACAGAAGGUCACCUU
rnacentral:misc_RNA from 1 species